AUACGGAGGGGGCAAGCGUUGUUCGGAAUUACUGGGCGUAAAGGGCGCGCAGGCGGUUUCGUUAGUCAGGCGUGAAAUCCCCGGGCUCAACCCGGGAACUGCGUUUGAUACUGCGGAACUAGAGAUCGGGAGAGGGUAGUGGAAUUCCCAGUGUAGAGGUGAAAUUCGUAGAUAUUGGGAAGAACACCAGUGGCGAAGGCGGCUACCUGGACCGAUACUGACGCUGAGGCGCGAAAGCGUGGGGAGCGAACAGGAUUAGAUACCCCAGUAGUCC
rnacentral:rRNA from 1 species